rnacentral:rRNA from 1 species
GACGUAGGGCGCGAGCGUUGUCCGGAUUUAUUGGGCGUAAAGAGCUCGUAGGCGGCUUGUCGCGUCGGCUGUGAAAACCCGCGGCCCAACUGUGGGCGGGCAGCUGAUACGGGCAGGCUGGAGUUCGGUAGGGGAGACUGGAAUUCCUGGUGUAGCGGUGAAAUGCGCAGAUAUCAGGAGGAACACCGGUGGCGAAGGCGGGUCUCUGGGCCGAUACUGACGCUGAGGAGCGAAAGCGUGGGGAGCGAACAGG